ACUCCUACGGGAGGCAGCAGUAGGGAAUAUUGGUCAAUGGGUGAGAGCCUGAACCAGCCAUGCCGCGUGCAGGAAGACGGCCUUCUGGGUUGUAAACUGCUUUUACCAGGGGAUAAAACGACUCUGCGGAGUUAAUUGAAGGUACCUGGAGAAUAAGCACCGGCUAACUACGUGCCAGCAGCCGCGGUAAUACGUAGGGUGCAAGCGUUGUCCGGAAUCAUUGGGCGUAAAGCGCGUGUAGGCGGUUCAGUAAGUCUGCUGUGAAAGUCCAGGGCUCAACCCUGGGAUGCCGGUGGAUACUGCUGAACUAGAGUCUGGAAGGGGCGAGUGGAAUUCCUGGUGUAGCGGUGGAAUGCGCAGAUAUCAGGAGGAACACCUAUGGCGAAGGCAGCUCGCUGGGACAGUACUGACGCUGAGACGCGAAAGCGUGGGAGCAAACAGGAUUAGAUACCCUGGUAGCCUCUG
rnacentral:rRNA from 1 species